ensembl:lncRNA
AUGUUUUUAUUGUUGUUUUGUUUUGUAUACAAGGAGGGAGUGAUUGUUAUAAAUAAAAUGGUUUGUUCAGUUCACUGGUGUUGUAAUCAUUGUGUCAAAAACAAAAGUAUAACAGGAAAUAAAUAUCGGUUCGGCAUAUCGAUUAUCAGGCACAUAAACAUCCAAAUAACUGGUAUCGGUUAUAAAAAGAAAUCAAUAUUGGUUGAUAUUAUUGAUAGUAUUGAUAUGUGAAAUCAGUACUACACUGAUAAAAAUUAUUUUGUGGUGAAGUAAAUACUUCAUAAAAACUUGUAAUUUCUACAUGAAAUAAUUAAGUUCAGGCAAGAAUAAAAAAAAAAGAGUCAAUCUAUAUUGUCAAAUCUACAAGCUCAAAUUUCAAUUUAAGCUUGUAGAAAUUAAAAUUUGAACUAAUACAUUUAUUUUACUUGGAAUUGUUAAUGUUUACAAGAAUUCUUUAAGUAAAUAUCAAAGUUAUGAUCCUGUUUUUCCCACCAUGCACUUGGGCAUGAACAAUUAAAAAUGUAAAAAUUGUCACUUUUUUCGAGUUGUAUUUACACUGUUUUAUCGUUGCUUUUGAAGUUAGGUUUAGUAACUUACUAUUUUGUAACAUCUGGAGUUCAUUUUCUACUCAAAAUGACCCAUUAAUUCUCAAACAAUAUCCACUGAUUGUACCGUCAUUGCACUUGAAUAAAGUUAAAGGUGCAAUUUGCCGAUUGUCCUGCAGUUGACCGCAUAAAUCUGUCUUCUUACGAUGCACUUGGGGCUCUACAAUUACUCCAGACCACUCGUAGAUCUAUAAUGAUUUUCAAGUGCUACUUAAGUUACGCAGGAACUCUGUCCUUCUAGUGUCUCUGACACAAUGACCCUCAUUUACAGAGUCCACACCACAUUCUCUCAGCCCCUCUGGGUUUUGGGCUAGUUUAUAUUAUACAGAUGAUGUUGAUUUAUAUGGUUUUUGUUCAACCGUGACACUUUGUGACCUAAAAAUAUAGAUGGCACAUAAAUUCUGCAAAUAUUGUGAGAUAUUUUCAAAAUAUCAUUAUCAUCACAUGCUGAAGUGUUGUGAAAUACAUGAAGACUGAUAGGCUUUAUCGGCAGAUAAGUUAAGAGUGACUCUUCAAGGACCAGCACCACCUCCUCUUGUAACACUUUUUGAAGAAUUUAGCUUCAAGAAUCUGGCAGUGAGUUUUGGGAGUUCAUUUUUAGUCCAUUUCUGCAAGACAGACUUUUCAGGAUAGGAGAUGGAUUAAAAAUGAUUUCCCAAAUCUUUCCUCAGAUUCUUGAAGAUAAAUUCUUCAAACAGUACUAGAGGAUGUAGUGCUGGUCAUUCAAGAGUCUCUCUCAACUUAUCUGUGUAUAAGGCCAAUAAAAGUCUUAAUAUAUUUUACUACACUUCAGCAUGUGAUUCUGAUUAAGUUAGGGUCAUUUUUUUAGGUUUCUUUAGCUAACCUAAGUCCCUGAGAACCUGUUACCUGACACAUUGCACUUCUGGAGACUCCAGGAAGGUUGUCAUUCUGGAAAAUGGUGGCACUGGAGACUAAAUGGUUCCUGAUGGUUUUACACCUUAUUUUUCACCUUAAUUCUUUUGCCAUUAACAUGUGUCUUUUCCUCUCCACCGUUUUUUUUUUCUUUUUUUUUCCUCUGACCCACUGAGCAUUAUGUUGUCAAAUGGUCAUGCCUUAGCUUUGCAAUUUCUGUAUUUUAUUAGUUUUGAAUUUGUCAUGGGCAUUUAAUAGUUUUUGACUUUUCAGUAUGAGUUAAAUCUAUCUUUUUUUUUUCUUUUUUGGCUCAAUUUAUCUGUAAAAGAAAACCUGCUUAAUAAUUAUGCACACCUGAUAUAAUGCAUUUUUCACUUCCAGCCUUCAUGGACAAUUAUAUAUCACUUAUAAAUGAUUAAAUACAAAAUUAUUAGUAUUAUUAAGAUUGAUUUGGUUUGGAUUUGGUCAAAUGUGCUUGGGAAAAAAAUAUGAUCAGAAUAUCAACUUGCAUAAUUAUGCACGCUCUAUUUUUCCUAAUUUUAUAGGCUACAGUUGAUUAGUUACAAUCAUUAAUUAAG